AAGUAGCAAGAGAUCUGAAAAGGUCAUGGGGUUCUCAGUGAGAAGAGCACGGCCUUUAUAAGGGAGGGGUUGACAAGCCUCAAACGCACCAUGUAGGAUAGGUGGCCCCUCUGACUGAUGAAAUCAGAGAGACUAAGCUGAAGGGAACCUCUACAGCAGGGAUGAUGAACUUCUGGUUGUCCAAAUAUUGCUGACUUCAGCUCCCACCAGCCUCAGCUAGGAUGUCCAGUGAAUAAACAACAGAUGGUUCAAGCAGUAACCUUCAGAUGAAGAGGACCUUCUUUAAAGGAUGAAGAACGAAUGAGAUACAGAAUGGAUUUUAGUGCAGAUAACCCAGAUCUAAAUCUAAGAUCUGUUUGACAGAAGGGUAUGAGCAAAACUGCCAACGAAAAUAAUUAUGCCGCACUGUAAGUGAAGGGAAGUCAUUCGAAAAACCACACAGAGAUUGUACAUUAUGCUAAGCAGAACAAUGCAAGCCAGCACUUCCUUCUGAUCUAGAACAAACACUCCAUCAGAGACAAAGUGGCUGUACUUCAGGGCUGAACCAGAUAGUAUGGCUGACAUACCAUUAGAAGUGGUGGUCUCUUAAGAGGACAAGACUGUCUGGUCUAACAUGAACUUGCCUCAAUUUGUGGUGGUCAAAUUAACCUGAUUUUGUUUUGUUAUA